rnacentral:rRNA from 1 species
CCUACGGGAGGCAGCAGUAAGGGAUAUUGGUCAAUGGGGGAAACCCUGAACCAGCAACGCCGCGUGAGGGAAGACGGUUUUCUGAUUGUAAACCUCUGUCCUCUGUGAAGAUGAGGACGGUAGCAGAGGAGGAAGCUCCGGCUAACAACGAGCCAGCAGCCGCGGUAAUACGUAGGGAGCGAGCGUUGUCCGGAUGUACUGGGUGUAAAGGGUGCGUAGGCGGCUUGGUCGGUCAGUAGGGAAAUCCAUGGGCUUAACCCUUGAACUGCUAUUGAAACUGUCGAGCUUGCGUGAAGUAGAGGUAGGCGGCCUUCCCGGUGUAGCGGUGCACUGCUUAGAGCUCGGGAGCACCCCCAGUGGCGAAGGCGGCCUACUGGGCUUUAACUGACGCUGAGGCACGCACGCGUGGGUAUCACCCAGGAUUAGAUACCCCGGUAGUC